rnacentral:rRNA from 1 species
GACGAACGCUGGCGGCGUGCUUAACACAUGCAAGUCGAACGGUGAAGGGACCAGCUUGCUGGUUCUGGAUGAGUGGCGAACGGGUGAGUAACACGUGAGUAACCUGCCCCCUUCUUCUGGAUAACCGCAUGAAAGUGUGGCUAAUACGGGAUAUUCUGGGUCUGUCGCAUGGCGGGCCCGGGAAAGAUAUUGCUUCGGUGGGGGAUGGGCUCGCGGCCUAUCAGCUGGUUGGUGGGGUGAUGGCCUACCAAGGCGGUGACGGGUAGCCGGCCUGAGAGGGGGGAAGGUCAGAAUUGGAACACGACACGGCCCAGAAUGCUACGGGAGGAAGGAGUGGGGAAUAUUGUGGAAUGGGCGCAAGCCCGAUGCAGCGACGCCGCGUGAGGGAUGGUGGCCUUCGGGUUGUAAACCUCUUUCGCAAGUGAAGCAGGCCUGUUACUUGUGGGUGGGUUGACGGUAGCUGGAUAAGAAGCGCCGGCUAACUACGUG